GUGUGUGUGGGGCGGGAGCGGACAACGGAGACCAGACCUACUGCAGCCACGCGGGCGAGCGGCUGUGUGGAUGUCGGCGAAGCCGCGGGCGAGGGCCUUGGGAACUCCAAGACAGAAUGGCCCGAGGCCUGGACACUCUCUGAGGACAUCUCUGCAAAGGCCCCAGCGGCCCAGGCCAGUGGGAUGCGGGCUGCUGGCCCUGUCCAGACUCUCAUACUGUGGGGCAGGGUUGCAGAGGCCCCUCCCUGGGUUUGCUCUGGGGUGGCAGAGAGCCAUUGUGAGUCAGUUCAGUGUGGUGGGCAGCGCUGUCUUGCAGCCCAAGGAAGCCGUCCUGGAGGAGGGAGCCUGACCCUCCAGCUGGGCUUGAAUGAGGAAGAGGCUAGAUAGAGGCCUGGCAGUGGGGCAGGGGUGGGGACUGUUUGUGAGCAGCCGUGUGGCAGGUAUGAUAGGAAGAAGGACUGGAGGGGUAGACAGGCACUGCCAUCCAUAGCCUGGAAAGUGUCACCAACAGGGCAGGAUUUCAUCCGAGAAGUAACAGGGAGGCUGGGCACAGUAGCUCAGGCCUGUAAUCUCCACGCUUUCAGAGGCUGAGGCAAGAAGAUGGCUUGAGCCCAGGCGCUUGAGACUAGCCUAGGCAACAUAGCGAGACCUCCACCUCUGCAAAAAAAUUUAAAAAAUUAGCCAGGCAUGGUGGCGCACACCAGUAGCCCCAGCUACUAGGGAGGCUGAGAUGGGAGGAUCUGAGCCCAGGAGGUUGAGGCUGC
rnacentral:lncRNA from 10 species